CUCCUCUGCCAAGCCGGCCACAGCAGCCUCCAAAGAACUACAACAGAGCAGCCUUCCCGGUAGCUCCCGAGGCUGCGAAACACCCACAAAGGGAUAGGAAUAGAACCCCGCAAAUCCGUGGCCAUCCACAGAUGAAGGUGUGGAUAUCUGCAGCUCGUUUCGAUUGUCGAAAGAAUGGAGGG